CUUCCGGAGACAUUGCGGAGCUUCCUGGAGCCUGCCAUAAUCCACAAAUGGAAAAGUGAACAACAAAACCUUUUCCAGAAGUUUAGACAGAGUGGAAAGAUUGGCCUCGCCGGAGAUAUGCGUGCAGACUCACCCGGACAUUCAGCCAAAUAUGGUAGUUACACGUUGAUGCACACAGAGAGCAACACCAUUUUGGACACACAACUUGUUCAGAGCAAUGAAGUCGGCGGGAGUUACCAUAUGGAGAAAGAAGGUCUAAAGAGAUGUCUUGAUCAUCUGGAGUCCAGUGGCUUAACAGUCGACUACAUUGUGACUGACCGUCACC